UCCCUGGUGGUCCAGUGGUUAGGACUCUGGACUUUUACUGCUGUGGCCCUGGGUUCGAUCCCUGGUCGGGGAA